UACGAAGGGAGCUAGCGUUGUUCGGAAUCACUGGGCGUAAAGCGCACGUAGGCGGAUGUGUCAGUCAGGGGUGAAAUCCCGGAGCUCAACUUCGGAACUGCCUUUGAUACAGCACGUCUUGAGUCCGAUAGAGGUGGGUGGAAUUCCUAGUGUAGAGGUGAAAUUCGUAGAUAUUAGGAAGAACACCGGUGGCGAAGGCGGCCCACUGAUCGGUACUGGACGCUGAGGUGCGAAAGCGUGG
rnacentral:rRNA from 1 species